GGAGGGGUAGACCUAAUUGGUAAGGCAGCGGUCUUGAAAACCGCCGGGCGCAAGCCCUUGUGGGUUCGAGUCCCACCCCCUCCG
rnacentral:tRNA from 2 species